rnacentral:rRNA from 1 species
UACUGAGUUACCGCUCUACAACCCUUUGUGAACAUACCUAACCGUUGCUUCGGCGGGCAGGGGAAGCCUCUCGCGGGCCUCCCCUCCCGGCGCCGGCCCCACCACGGGGACGGGGCGCCCGCCGGAGGAAACCAAACUCUAUUUACACGACGUCUCUUCUGAGUGGCACAAGCAAAUAAUUAAAACUUUUAACAACGGAUCUCUUGGUUCUGGCAUCGAUGAAGAACGCAGCGAAAUGCGAUAAGUAAUGUGAAUUGCAGAAUUCAGUGAAUCAUCGAAUCUUUGAACGCACAUUGCGCUCGCCAGCAUUCUGGCGAGCAUGCCUGUUCGAGCGUCAUUUCAACCCUCAAGCACCGCUUGGUUUUGGGGCCCCACGGCAGACGUGGGCCCUUAAAGGUAGUGGCGGACCCUCCCGGAGCCUCCUUUGCGUAGUAACUAACGUCUCGCACUGGGAUCCGGAGGGACUCUUGCCGUAAAACCCCCAAAUUCUUUACAGGUUGACCUCGGAUCAGGUAGGAAUACCCGCUGAACUUAAGCAUAUCAAUAAGGCGGAG